rnacentral:lncRNA from 1 species
UUUUUUUUGCUUUAGAAAAAUUUUCCUCAAAAUAGGUAAAUUUUUUGAAUGACGUCAUUGUUUGGUAUGUGACGUCACGAACGUCGAGUUUUCAUAUUGUAUGUGACGUCACGAAUGUCAAGUUUUCAUAUUUUUUGGCACACUAUGUGCAACUAUGAAAAAUACAAAACACACAAAUUAAUACAAUAAUAUAAAACAAAAUAUUUUUAAAACAACAGCACGCAAAUUGUAAGGUAACCCAGGUGCUUCAGAUAAGUAAUUGAGCAGUUCUUUUAAGGCCUUUGUAACAAGACAAAAGUAGAACUGAAGGUAACCCAGUGCUAUGAAUCAGGAAACAGUUCAUAUAAUAUAAUACUCUUCUGUUGAAAUAUAUGAUAAAGUGUAUAAUACAUGGCAAAAUCCGUAUCACAUGCCGAAUCACCCUCGACCAAUAUCAUCCCUCGGGCCUAAAGGCCCUUGGGCUGAUAUUGAUGUCUCGGGAUGAUACGACAUAUGAUACGGAUUUUGCCAUGUAUUAUUCUCUAUUUAUCAUAUGUUUAGUAGUAAAUACAGUAGUUUUGCAUAUGUGAUAAAUAGCCUGCUGUUUAAUCCAUAUCGCGCAACUUUGAUGCGCACCCUUUAUCGCAUACCCUUUAUCACACCCCUACCCUUUAUUACACCCCUACUUUUUUUUUUUUUUUUUUUUUUUUACAUAAAGUCAGUGUUGGUUUUUUUUUUGCUUAAAAUUUUUUUUUCCUCAAAAUAGGUAAAUUUUUUGAAUGACGUCAUUGUUUGGUAUGUGACGUCACGAACGUCGAGUUUUCAUAUUGUAUGUGACGUCACGAACGUCAAGUUUCAUAUUUUUUGGCACACUAAAUGCAACUAUGAAAAAUACAAAACACACAAAUUAAUACAAUAAUAAACAAAAUAUUUUUAAAACAACAGCACGCAAAUUGUAAGGUAACCCAGGUGCUUCGGAUAAUAAUUGAGCAGUUCUUUUACGGCCUUUGAAACAAGACAAAAGUAGAACUGAAGGUAACCCAGUGCUAUGGAUCAGAAAACAGUUCAUAUAAUAUAAUACUCUUCUGUUGAAAUAUAUGAUAAAGUGUAUAAUACAUGGCAAAAUCCGUAUCACAUGCCGUAUCACCCUCGACCAAUAUCAUCCCUCGGGCCUAAAGGCCCUUGGGCUGAUAUUGAUGUCUCGGGAUGAUACGACAUAUGAUACGGAUUUUGCCAUGUAUUAUUCUCUAUGUAUAUGACCUUUAUUUCUGUAUUCUUUAAUAUUAAGUCCAUUUUUCUCUAUCUUUAAUAUACUUUGUGCCCAUUAUUCUCUUUAUAUUUUUAUGUUUAUAUUAAGCACCUCACUUUUUUUUACUAUUUUUUAUGUCCAUUUUACUCUUUAUUUUUUUACCCAUUGUUUUUCUCUAUUCUGUAACGCCCCUCAUAUAUAAGGCCUUACCAUUGUAUCAACAGAGGUUCUGUCAUAUUGUAAAUUAAG